AUACUUUCAUGUAUUUAUAAAGACAUGAAUUAGACAUAUUUUGUUACUUUUAAGAUAUAUAAGUAACUUGUUUAGGUAUUUCACUUUGCAUAAAAUAAGACAAUCUACGGUAUUUACUUAUUAGUAAUUUUAAAUAGAAGGGAAGAGGCAUUGAUUGGUUUAAAACGAUGAAUUACAAAGCUUUUUGGCUUACUAUGUCGGUUUUUCUUUUUUACCAAGAUUUUGCAGUUGUAGCUACUACUUUGCAUAGAAACGUUAAAAUAGAAGAACAAGAAGAGGAAUUUGAAGGUAA